rnacentral:rRNA from 1 species
UACGGAGGGUGCAAACGUUGCUCGGAAUCAUUGGGCGUAAAGCGCACGUAGGCGGCCGUGUAAGUCGGAUGUGAAAGCCCUGGGCUCAACCCAGGAAGUGCAUUCGAAACUGCACGGCUUGAAUAUGGAAGAGGGUCGCGGAAUUCCCGGUGUAGAGGUGAAAUUCGUAGAUAUCGGGAGGAACACCAAUGGCGAAGGCAGCUUGCUGGGACGGUACUGACGCUGAGGAGCGAAAGCGUGGGGAGCGAACAGG